AGCCGGGCGACCUCUUCUCCUAUAGCUUUUCAUAGUUCCUCAUUGAAUCGCCGCAGAAACUGCCUGACCGGCUUAUACUUCGGAUCAAUAUUAAGAGUAUGAUUAGUGAGUCCUCUCAGUACACCCGGCAUGUCAGAAGGCUUCCAUGCAAAGAUGUCUCGGUUCUCACGGAUGAACUCGAUGAGCGCGCUUUCCUAUUUAGGAUCCAAGUUGGCACUGAUGCUGAAUUUCUUAGACGAAUCGCCUGGAGUAAAAUCAACAAGCUUAGUCUCUGCAGCCGAUUUAAACUUCAUGGCCGGGUCAUGCUCCGUAGUCGGCUUCUUGAUAGAGGUCAUAUCCGCCGGGCCAAUGUUAUUUUGAUAAAAUUUGAGCUCCUCUGCUGCACAGAUAGACUCAGCAUAAGCCGCAUCGCCUUCUUCGCAUUCCAGGGCCACCUUUCGGCUUCCAUGCACGGUGAUGGUACCCUUGUAACCCGGCAUCUUGAGCUGUAAAUAAACAUAACACGGCCGCGCCAUAAACUUGGCAUAAGCCGGCCGCCCAAACAAAGCGUGAUAUGGACUCUUGAUUUUUACCACUUCAAAAGUUAACUUUUCCGCCCUAGAAUCAUGCUUGUCUCCAAAGGCCACCUCUAGCUCAAUCUUACCCAUAGGAUACGCUGAUUUACCCGGCACCACUCCAUGGAAGACGGUGUUGGAAGUCUUUAAAUUCUUGUCGGUUAAGCCCAUGCGCCGAAAGGUCUCAUAAUAGAGGAUGUUGAUGCUGCUACCUCCAUCCAUGAGUACCUUAGUAAAUUUAUAACCACCAACCUGCGGUGCCACUACCAAGGCCAGUUGACCCGGAUUAUCAACCCGGGGAGGGUGAUCCUCCCUGCUCCAGACAAUAGGCUGUUCCGACCACCUCAAGUAACGAGGGACUGUUGGCUCAACAGAAUUCACCGCCCUGUAUGUGUGCCAUCUUGCAAUAGAUCGUCCUAUCUAUAUCUGACAGAUGGAAAUUAAACUAAAAGAUACCCGCACCUCUAUCCACAUUUGCAGACAAGGCCUUCCCUCGUUAAUCCUUAUCUCCAACAACCUCAUUGUUCAGCAAUUAAAAAAGGAAGCCUCUGGAACAAACUGGCCUGGUGGCCGCUGCCAACAUCGUCCAUCCCCUUGCCUCCGCUCAGUCCGACCACCAAUCACCACCACACCCCACUCCUCUUCACCUUAUCUCCUCUUUCUCGAGAUAUCAUUAGUUUUUACACAUGGUAUUACUCCUGCAUGGGUCAAUCACAACGAGUGUUUUAUAAAAAUAUGCAUCUUGAUGUUCCAUGCAAUGCACGGACAUCUUGCUAGUACUCCUAUAGAAGACUAAGUUGGUGAUGAAUGUGUGUGUGCCAUCCGUCAUUUCUGACCAUUAGAUCUACAUCUAACGACUGUGGGGUAUGUUGUUUCCUUUUCUCACCAACAUCCCACUUCUCUACCAAUUUGCAAAAAAACCAUAAUUAGUAUCUUAAAACUAACCACACCUAAGGGAGUCCGGGAUUAGGGGGUCUCCAGACAGCCAGACUCUAUCCUUCGGCCAGACUAUUGGACUAUGAAGAUACUAAAUUGAAGACUUCGUCUCGUGUCCGGAUGGGACUCUACUUGGCGUGGAAGGCAAGCUAGGAAAUACGGAUAUGGAUAUUUCCUCCUUUGUAACCAACCUUGUGUAACCCUAACCCUCUCCGGUGUCUAUAUAAACCGGAGGGUUUAGUCCGUAGGAUAAGAACAAUCAUACCAUAGGCUAGCUUCUAGGGUUUAGCCUCUUCGAUCUCGUGGUAGAUCAACUCUUGUAAUACCCAUAUCAUCAAGAAUAAAUCAAGCAGGACGUAGGGUUCUACCUCCAUCAAGAGGGCCCGAACCUGGGUAAAACAUCGUGUUCCCUGCCUCCUGUUACCAUCCGCCUAGAUGCACAGUUCGGGGCCCCUACCCGAGAUCCGCCAGUUUUGACACCGACAUUGGUGCUUUCAUUGAGAGUUCCUCUGUGUCAUCAUCAUCAGGCUUGAUGGCUCCUUCGAUCAUCGUUAGCGAUGCAGUCCAGGGUGAGGCCUUUCUCCCCGGAUAGAUUUUUGUAUUCGGCGGCUUUGCACUGCGGGGUGGAGCAGAUUGAAAGCUACGCCCUUGGCCAUCAGGUCAAGUUUGGAAGCUUAAACUACACGGCCGAUAUCCGCGGAGACUUAAUCUUCGACGGAUUCGAGCUCCUGUCGAGUGCGCCGCACUGUCACGAUGGGCAUGAUUUGGCUCUGCCGCCGAACAGUGCCCUGGAGGCCGCACCCUCAUCCGCUCUGACCUUUAAUUCAGAGCCAACUGCACCGUCCGAGGGCGGGUGGCUAGACCCUGCCACGGAGGCUGCAGCCUCAACGGCGGUCGAGCCGAACACCAACCUUAUCCUUCGCGAGGUCCGUGACUCCACAUUGCCGGACUCUCCUCCGAACUCUGAACCAUCCGCGCCCCCGCCAAUCGAAUCUGAUUGGGCGCCGAUCAUGGAGUUCACUGCCACGGAUAUCUUUCAGCACUCGCCCUUCAGCGACAUACUGAAUUCACUAAGGUCUCUCUCUUUGUCAGGAGAGUCCUGGCCGGAUUAUGACCGGCAAGAUUGGGAUGCGGACGACGAAGAAAUUCGACGCCCACCCACCACCCACUUCAUAGACACUGUCAAUGAUUUGACUGACAUGCUCGACUUCGACUCCGAAGAUAUCGACGGUAUGGACGACGACGCAGGAGACGAACAGGAACCAGCGCCUAUAGGGCACUGGAAAGCCACCUCGUCAUAUGAUAUAUAUGUGGUGGACACACCCAAAGAGGGCAAUGGCGACAGAACAGCGGAGGAUGACCCCUCCAAGAAGCAACCCAAGCACCGACGUCAGCGGCGCCGCUCUAAGUCCUGCCAAAACAAAAGUGGUGAUACCGGCACAGGAGAUAAUAGCACUCUGGAUAGUGCCGAAGACGGCAACAAUCCCCUCCAGCAAGAUUUAGGGCAGGAGGAUGGAGAGGCCAGCCCUCCUGAGAGAGCGGCAGAUGAAGAGGAGGAGGAUGACAAUUGCAUGCCUCCCUCCGAAGACGAGGCAAGCCUCGACGAUGACGAAUUCGUCGUGCCAGAGGAUCCCGUCGAAAAAGAGCGCUUCAAGCGCCGGCUUAUAGCCACAGCAAAUAGCCUUAAGAAGAAGCAGCAGCAGCUUCAAGCUGAUCAAGAUCUGCUAGCUGACAGAUGGACUGAAGUCCUGGCGGCCGAGGAAUAUAAACUCGAACGCCCCUCCAAGAGUUACCCAAAAUGCAUGUUGCUACCCCCGACUAGAGGAAGAAGCGUAUAACGCGGCUGACCGGCCACCUCGUGGCCGCGACAGAGAGGCAUUCCAGCCAAAUGCUCAGCCUGCACCCCGACGCCAUUCAAAUAAAAAGGCAUGGGGAAAUACGCUAGACCUGCGAGACGUAUUGGAGGACAAAGCAAAACAUGCAAGAUCGAUCUAUGGAUCACGAGGGCGCGCCACUACGCGAGACGACAAUCGUCACGCCGGAUACAGUAAAAGUAAAUCCAGCCGGGCCGAGCACAGCGGGCAAGACUCAUUGGAGCUGCGUCGCGAUAUAGCCCAGUACAGAGGCGCCACACACCCCUUAUGCUUCACAGACGAAGUAAUGGAUCAUCAAAUCCCAGAAGGUUUCAAACCCGUAAAUAUAGAAUCAUACGACAGUACAACAGAUCCUGCGAUAUGGAUUAAUGAUUUCCUCCUGCAUAUCCACAUGGCACGCGGUGAUGAUCUAUAGGCCAUUAAAUACCUCCCACUCAAACUCAAAGGACCAGCUCGGCAUUGGCUCAAUAGCUUGCCAGCAGAGUCCACUAGCUGUUGGGAAGACCUGGAAGCCGCAUUCCUCGACAACUUUCAGGGCACUUAUGUGCGACCACCAGAUGCCGAUGACUUGAGCCACAUAAUUCAGCAGCCAGAGGAAUCGGCCAGGCAAUUCUAGACACGGUUCCUAACAAAGAAAAAUCAAAUCGUCGACUGUCCGGAGGCAGAGGUCCUAGCAGCUUUCAAGCACAACAUCCGCGACGAGUGGCUAGCCCGGCACCUGGGUCAGGAAAAGCCAAAAUCUAUGGCAGCCCUCACGACACUCAUGACCCGAUUUUGUGUGGGAGAAGAUAACUGGCUGGCUCACAGUAAUAACAUAUCGAAGAACCACGGUACUUCGGAUACCAAGGACGGCAAUAGCAGGUCAUGUUGCAACAAACAUAAGCGCCGCAUUAACAGCGACAAUACCGAGGAUACGACAGUCAAUGCCGGAUAAAAAGGCUCUAAACCCGGUUUAGCGGAAAAAGGCAUUCAAAAGAAGCACCCCGGGCCCGUCCAGUUUGGACCGCAUACUCGAUCGCUCGUGUCAAAUACACGGCACCCCCGACAAGCCAGCCAACCACACCAACAGGGAUUGUUGGGUGUUCAAGCAGGCCGGCAAAUUAAUUGCCGAAAACAAAGAUAAGGGGCCACAUAGCGAUGAUGAGGAGGGGCCCCGACAGCCGAAUACCGGAGGAUAGAAGAGGUUCCCCCCACAAGUGCGGACGGUGAACAUGAUAUACGCAACCUACAUCCCCAAGAGGGAGCGGAAGCGUGCGCUCCGGGACGUAUAUGCGUUGGAGCCCGUCGCCCCAAAGUUCAACCCAUGGUCCUCCUGUCCGAUCACCUUCGAUCGCAGGGACCACCCCACUAGUAUCCGUCAUGGUGGAUUCGUCGCACUGGUCCUAGACCCAAUCAUUGACGGAUUUCACCUCAUUCGAGUCCUUAUGGAUGGCGGCAGCAGCCUGAACCUGCUUUACCAGGACACAGUGCGCAAAAUGGGUAUAGACCCCUCAAGGAUCAAACCCACAAAAACGACCUUUAAAGGCGUCAUACCAGGUGUAGAGACCCAUUGCACAGGCUCAGUCGCACUGGAAGUGGUCUUCGGAUCCCCGGAUAACUUCCGAAGCGAAGAGUUAAUCUUCGAUAUAUUCCCGUUCCGCAGUGGCUAUCAUGCACUGCUUGGGCGAACCGCAUUUGCGAGAUUCAAUGCGGUACCGCAUUAUGCAUACCUCAAGCUCAAGAUGCCAGGACCUCGGGGGGUUAUUACAGUUAAUGGAAACACAGAGCGCUCUCUCUGAACGGAGGAGCACACUGCCGCCCUCGCAGCAGAAGCACAAAGCAGCCUCUUAAGGCAACCCACUAGUUCGGAGAUUAAGGACCCACACAACUUCAAGCGCGCCCGAAGUAAUCGACAACUGGAAUGCCUGACACGUUCCGAGCUCGCAUAGCAAUGCGGGCCCCACCCUGGUCCCAGCCAAACGGCGAAACCCGUGUCACGCGUACAUAAUUACGCAUUAAAAAUACCAUGGGCACAGGCGGGGAAGGGGGCACAACUAUGGCACGCCCCAAGACGCGGCUUAAACCGCACUAGGGGCUUCCCACUUUGUUAUUUUUCUCUCUUUCAGGACAUUAAUCUCUGGAAACCCUGUCCGGCAGCAUGAUUGCCGAACACAUGAUGCAGCAACCAAGGAGGCAGAAAGCUACAUCACACCAUGGAACUCCCAGGUGGAUUAUGAUAACGAGUGAAAUACUUGCUUUAAUAUUAUUCUUCAGCUUGCCCUUGGAGGGGACAUAGUCCUACUUUUUGCUUAUCGCACUACCUGUAUCAUUCUGCUCUAACGCACAUUUUUUAAUACAGAAUGCAUUGCAUUAAGGCUUUUAUUGCAUUCUUAUUUUUAUAUAUAUAUGUGUGUGUGUUCAUUCGUGAUAUCCAGCACCCGUACACUCUGGUACGGCCAAUACGCUAGGGGCUUCAGCAUACCCCACAAUACGGCGUGAGAAGUCCGAACACUUUCGACAGUUCGGCACCCCGAACUUAUAGCAUUAUAUGCAUCAGCUCCGAAUCAUAUCUUGGGUCAAUAGUUGGGUUUGCCCGGCUCCCAUGUUUUGGUACCUUAUGUUCCGCUAUAUCGGCUAAGGUAGCACUGGGAGAACUACUGCGAUUGUGCCCCGGUUCUGCUGGGCUAAGGACCUCAGUAGAGAAAGCUAAAACUGACUGUCAUGAUAAGGCGAGAGACUGGUCGCUGUUCGAGAGGUUUUCGAGUCCUUAAAGACUUACGCCACUUAGAGCGAGGAGUCGGCCCUGUCCGGCUUAAGGCGUGUAUCGUGCCCCAGAUUCAGCCUUCCGAAUACUAGGGGCUUCGCCGAAAUUUAAAAUUAUAGAAUUCUAUGGCUAAGUGAGAGUGAUAACGCAUUAUAGUCCGAUUGCCUUGUUUGUUGUGCUGAGCACCUCCCUCGAAGGACCCAAAAAUGGGAACAAGAGUGCUCAGGUUUAUCCCGAACACCCCAGCACUCGUGGCAUGGGGGCAGAAGCCGACGACUAGCCAUCUCUCAGAUCUGAUAAAUAGCCGAACAGAAGGUAAUAUUUUAAAUUCAAACAAGCGUUGCAUAGCGCAUAUGAACAAGUUUUCAUGAAUACGGGAUUACACGAGCGAGUUCACUCAAAUAUUAUAUCUUUCGUACACUCGUCCGCUACGAGACGGGCACCCUUCAGGACACCCUCAUAGUACAUCUUGGGGUGGCGAUGCUCCUUGCCCUCCGGUGGCCCUUCCUUGAUCAGCUUCACGGCGUCCAGCUUGGCCCAUUGUACCUUCACACGGGCGAAAGCCCGGCGUUCACCUUCGAUGCAAAUGGACCGCUUGAUAACUUCCAGCCGUGGGCAGGCAUCCACAAGCCGUCUCACCAAGCUGAAGUAGCUAUUGGGAAGGGCGUCGCCAGGCCAAUCCGGACUAUCAAGCCCUUCAUGGCCUGUUCGGCCGCCUUGUGUAGCUCGACCAGCUGCUUUAGCUGGUCACUCAUAGGUACUGGGUGUUCAGUCCCAGUAUACUGGGCCCAGAACAACUUCUCCGUCGAGCUUCCCUCCUCGGCCCAGUAAAAUUUUGCGGCAUCCGACACGCUGUGGGGCAAAUCUACGAAUGCUCCCGGAGAGCUCCGGAUUCGGGUAAGUAACAAGUAAUUUACUUUCACAUGCUUACUUUGCAUAUAGAAUGCCUUACCCGCCGCUAUCUUCUUCAUCGCAUCAAUCUCCUGGAGGGCCUUUUGGGCUUCGGCCUUGGCACUCUUUGCACCCUCAAGGGCCGUGGCAAGCUCGGACUCUCGUGUCUUCAAGUCAAGCUCCAACGCCUCGUGCUUCAUCACGAGAGCGUGGAGCUCUUGUUGCACCUCACCCACCCGUGUCUCAUGCCUCUCCCGCUCGGUGCGCUCCUUGGCCGCUUUGUUUUCGGCCUCGGACGGCGCUUGCUUCAGGGUCGCCACCUCGGUCGUGGCCCCUGGCAAAUUUACGAUAAUCCUGUCAUUUUGCAAUCGCUUUCCUUUUAUAGAUUCAUAGACUAGGUACUACUUACCUUUGUUCUCCUCGAGCUGCCUCUUGGCAAGGCCGAGCUCUUUCUUGGACCCUUUAAGGUCCUACUUCAGUGCGGCGACCUCCGCAGUCAGUGCAGCAGAGGCCAGUAGCGAAGCCUGCAUACACAUAUAGACAUACUUAUAUUAGACUCCUGCGAUAUUGUUUGAUCCUCUGUUCGGCUUUUCUUUGUGAACACCGAACAGAGCAUCAGGGGCUACUGUCUAUGCGGUAAUAUUUCGCCUAUAUUUCAAAAACAUACCUCAAAGCCUGUUAGAAGGCUGGCACAGGCUUCAGUCAGUCCACUCUUGGCGGACUGAACCUUCUGGACCACCGCACUCAUAAUAGUGCGGUGCUCUUCGUCAAUGGAAGUGCUGCGAAGCGCUCCCAGCAGAUUGUCCGGUGCCUCUGGAUGGGCAGAGGUCACCGGCAUAGGCGUCUUGCCCCUCUUGGAAGGAGGCCGCCUUCCCGAGUCCGGAACCACUGGAGGUUCCGGCGCGGUGUUCGGCUGAGGGCUGAACUCGGAGCCCUCGGGGGCUUUGCUCCCCCUGCUCCCGGAGUUCGGAAGGUCGCUUUGAGGCGCCUCCGGGACUGUCUCCCCUCGACCCAGUGCCUCUUGAGACAACACCUCGGUGUUGUCCGUAGGGCAAGGGGGAGGUGGCGAUGAGAAGUGGAUCGCUAUCCAUAUCCGACGAGCCCAGGGAGCCCUCCGACGAGGAUACGUUGAUACGGGUUCGGGGCGGUCUGCACAAUCAUAAUUCCGUGUUAGGAGAAGCAGUGCGACAAAGGAAUGCUAUGAGUUGCUCUGGUAUCCGAAUACUUACGACUUCGCCAGGGGCUUGGCCCUGAGCAGCCACUCGUCUUCGCCUUCGGUGGCGGUGGUGGAGUAGUCCGGAAGAAGAGUCCUUCCCUUCUUGGACCCUUCGGCCCCCCAAGUAGGGGCGGCCUUCCUUUUCUUGUCUCCCCUGACUGGAGGGGGAACAUCUUCAUCUUCCUCAUCGUCUUCGGGGGAGGAGUGCAUCGCGGAGUUAUCGGACGAUGAGUCCGAUGAUACCUGGCGCCGGGAGCCCUUUCGGGUUCCCUUGGCCUUCUUGGUCUUCUCCGGCACCUUGUAAGGAGCCGGAGUCAGCAUCUCCGUCAGGAGAGCGUCCGCAGUGUCUUCGGGCAGAGGGGUCGAACAGUUAAUCUGCCCCGACGUCUCCACCCAGUCCUGUCAAAGGCAUGGAGAUCAGACCCCGCACAUGAUUAAGCUAGGGGAAAUAAAUAUCCUACCGGAUGUAUAGAACUCACCGAAUGUGCUCGGCGCUUCGCGCUUAGCCCAUGGUCCUCGGUGAGAGAGGGAGGGACCUCGGCGCCCUUGAACAACACCUUCCAGACGUCCUUGUGCGUUGUGUCGAAGAGCUUGCUCAGAGUCUGGUGCUGGGCCAGGUCGAACUCCCAUAAUUUGAAGUCCCGUUGUUGGCACAGGAGGAUCUGGCGGAUUAGCAUGACCUGGACUAUGUUGACAAGCUUGAGCUUCUUGCUUGUCAUGUUCAUGAUACAUUUGUGGAGUCCGUCCAGCUCCACCGAUGAACCCCACGACAAGCCCUUCUCUUUCCAGGAAGUGAGCCAUGUAGGGAAUCCGGAUCGAAACUUGGGGGCAGCCACCCAUUUGGUGUCGCGCGGCUCGGUGAUGUAGAACCACGCCGAUUGCCACCCCUUUAUGGUCUCCACGAAGGAGCCUUCAAGCCAUAUAACGUUGGGCAUCUUGCCCACCAUGGCUCCGCCGCAUUCUGCUUGUUGGCUGCCCACCACCUUCAGCUUGAUAUUGAAGGUCUUUAGCCAUAGGCCGAAGUGGUGGCGGAUGCGGAGAAAAGCCUUACAGACGACGAUGAACGCCGAAAUGUUGAGGAUGAAGUUUGGGGCCAGAUCAUGGAAGUCCAGCCCGUAGUAGAACAUGAGACCGCGGACGAAUGGAUGAAGGGGAAACCCCAGUCUGCGGAGGAAGUGGUGGAGGAAAACUACCCUCUCAUGGUUCUGGGGUAGGGACGAUCUACCUCACAGCGGGCAGCCGAUGCGCGAUAUUCGCGGCUAAGUAUCCGGCUCCGCGCAACUUUUUGAUGUGUUCCUUCAUAACGGAGGAAGCCAUCCACUUGCCUCCCGCUCCGGACAUGUUUGGAGGAGGUUGAGAAGAAAGAUGUGGACUUGGGCGUUGGGGCUCGAGUGCGCAAGAAUGGAUGGGCAAGGAGGAAGAAGGCGUGGGUAGAGAAAGGUUAAACCUUAUCCCUUUAUAAGGGCGGCCAAAACUAUGCGCCCCCACUAGCCUAGUAAAACUGCUUACCCCCCAAGCGCCGUAAUCGAUGGUGCGGUUGGGUUACCCAUGCCCGUAUUGAUGAAAAUCCCGUAAUAAGGGGAACACGAUCUCUGCUUUGACAAGACGUGUCAAGAAACUGCCUCGCGUUAUGAGCGGGGCUAGUCAAAGGAAAUGGUUCAAAUAAUCACCGGGCUAUGGCAUAAUGUUAUGUUGCCCAAAACGUGUCGGCAGAUUGGAUUUGUGGAAAUAUUAUUCUCUCUACGGUGGUAUGUGGAAAUUAUUUUGCAGGGUCGGACACUAUCCUUGUAUUCAAAUUCUUCCGUGAUGUAUUCGGAGGAGGAACCCGCCUUGCAAUGCCGAAGACAAUACCGCGCACCGGGCUCAUCGUCAUUGAAGCCUGGUUCAGGGUCUACUAAGGGAGUCUGGGAUUAGGGGGUCUCCGGACAGCCGGACUCUAUCCUUUGGCCGGACUGUUGGACUAUGAAGAUACGAGAUUGAAGAUUUCGUCCCGUGUCCGGAUGGGACUCUACUUGGCGUGGAAGGCAAGCUAGGCAAUACGGAUAUGUGUAUUUCCUCUUUUGUAACCGACCUUGUGUAACCCUAACCCUCUCCGGUGUCUAUAUAAACCAAAGGGUUUAGUCCGUAGGAUAAGAACAAUCAUACCAUAGGCUAGCUUCUAGGGUUUAGCCUCUCCGAUCUCGUGGUAGAUCAACUCUUGUAAUACCCAUAUCAUCCAGAAUAAAUCAAGCAGGACGUAGGGUUUUACCUCCAUUAAGAGGGCCCGAACCUGGGUAAAACAUCGUGUCCCCUGCCUCCUGUUACCAUCCGCCUAGACGCACAGUUCGGGACCCCCUACCCGAGAUUCGCCGGUUUUGACACCGACAACACCCCUCCCUCACCUCACCAAAAUAGCCUAAGGAAUAUUUUCUGAUUGAAACAUAAUAUAUCUCUAGUGAUAUAUGUAUAUCAAAAUUUGAGUGCUUUGUAUCAAGUUUGUGAAUAAGUAUUAUUCUUAUUAUGAUCCGUUGCAACGCACGUGAACAUUGCUAGUAUAACUAACUCAUUAGUCACAUUGCUUGUAAGGCUUAUAGUGAUGUGCAUUACCGAGAGGGCCUAGAGAUACCUCUCUGACAAUCGGAGUGACAAAUCCUAAUCUCGGUCUAUGCCAACUCAACAAACACCAUCGAAGACACCAAUAGAGCAUCUUUAUAAUCACCCACUUACGCUGUGACGUUUGAUAUCACACUAAGUGUUCCUGCAGUAUUCAGGAGUUGCAUAAUCUCAUAGUCAUAGAAACAUGUAUAAGUUAUGGAGAAAGCAAUAGCAAUAAACUAAACGAUCAUAGUGCUAGCUAACGGAUGGGUCUUGUCCAUCACAUUAUUCUUUAAUGAUGUGAUCUCGUUUAUCAAAUGACAACACAUGUCUAUGGUUAGGAAACUUAACCAUCUUUGAUAAACGAGCUAGUCUAGUAGAGGCAUACUAGGGACAUUCUGUCUGUCUAUGUAUUCACACAUGUACUAGGUUUCUGGUUAAUACAAUUCUAGCAUGAUUAAUAAACAUUUAUCAUGAUAUAAGGAAAUAUAAAUAAUAACUUUAUUAUUGCCUUUAGGGCAUAUUUCUUUCAUGUUAUCGAUGUCGAAGCGUGGGCUCUAUCCGAUCCAGCCAUUGCAUUUCCAUCUGGCGUAGUGCGUGAGAUUAACGAUUUGUUAUUGAGAAAUAUAUGAUUUCAUUUGGAAAGGUUAUAAAAAAUGCCGUCUUUCUUUUACGAGGGUGAUCUCAUAUAUAUGGUGCGACUUCUGAAUUCUUAAUUACCUACUCCCUUCGUCAAGAGUGUUUUUGACACUAAUGUAAUGUCAAAAACGCCUUUAUAUUAUGGGACUGAGGGAGUAAUAUUUACGUGAUUAAAUUGAAUCAAUGCAUGCCAAAGCAAGCACAAAAAACGAACAAGGAGGGUCGGGCGAAUCGAUUCGUUUUUUUAGUGGGAGAAAAUUUGCGUGAAGGGUGGUCAUGGAAGGUGAGGCACAACUAAAUUGAAGAGGCGAGAUUACGAAGUCCUAAUAGUAGAGAUGCCGUUAAAAAAAGAACUCCUAAUAGUAGAGAUUGCCAUUCACUUUUACUUUUUUCGUUCAAGGCUUUUACAACAUGUUCAUAAGUAUGUUUGUCUUAUGUACCAUACUAGAUACUCAAAAAUACAAUACGAGAUACCUAAAGAUAAAUGUGUAGAUUUUGAAUAGUUUGAAGCUAGAAUUUGAUUUUCUUUUUUCCUUUUGCGUGAAAACUUCUGACAUAUUUAUCUUCAAUCAUGACAGUAUAGAGAACAUCAGAAAAUGAUAAAAAUUACAUCCAGAUUCGUAGACCAUCGAGCGACGACUAUAGACAUUGAAGUGAGCCGAAGGCGCGCCGCCCUCAUCGUCCUUCCUCGCUGUCGAUGAAGAACAGCAUAGAUCGGAAGGAUCCAAUCCGAAGACACACAAACAUAGACAAAUGACGACCAAACCCGAGCAGAUCCAUCGAAUACAUAUUCAUUGGAGACAUACCUCCACAUGCCCACCAAUGAUGCUAGAUGCACUGGUAGGACGGGGGCUAGGCAGUGAGAACGUUAUUCCAUCUUAAGGAAGUCGCCGCCAUCUCGUCUUUCUGAAUAGGACACAAACCCUAAUAUAACUAUAAAGAAACAUGUAAAAACGGGCCAUCCCCGCGCCUUCAUGGUCCUAAGGCCAUUGGAGACGAGGCGAACCGGCGGCGGCUACGCGAUAUAGAGGAAUCCUAAUCUCUUUUUUUGGGAGUGAGGAGACAGCAGCCGUGUGUUAUCAAUCAUUGUUGCAAUUUGCAACGGACCAUGUUGCAAUUUUGGAAAGAGAGAAGAAAGAUUAUACGAUGAGCGGCUAUGGAACCACAAAUUGAGAUUUCUUCUUUAUAUACAAAAUAUCUAAUCAAAUGGAGAUGAGAUUUACUUAAAAGUAUUCCAUCUAUCCCCCUUUUCUCUUUUUGAAACAGAUGCCACGGUAGACCGGGUGCAUGGUCGUGGCUCGGUUAUAACAACCCACAAAUCGUCGAGAGCAUUGAUUCCCGCGUACACCGGAUCCAGCAACCUCCUCCCCAGCGGCGGCCCACCGGUCAUGGUCUCUGCCCACAGAAACCAACCUGGCCAACGCUGGCGCCGACGGGUGGCCAGCCCACACGUGCCAAGCCCGGCCCCCGCACGUCAGCCUCCCCCCGUCCAACCACGUCCUCCAGGCCACCCCGAGCCGUCCAUCACGGCCCCCGGCACGCCACCAGCCGUCCGAUACACCCCGGGGUUGUUCCACGCCCUCCCUCGUAUACCCCGCCCGCCGCCGCCUAUAUAAGCCCCGCCUCCUCCCCCACCCCGAGCAGAUAAGAUCGAUCGAUCGCGCAGGCGCCAGGGAAAGAGAGAGAAAAAAAACAACCAGUUCGUCGGUAGGGUUUCGGGGGCUGCGAUGGCGAUGGAGGCUCGGAUGAAGGGGACGGUCAAGUGGUUCAACGACACCAAGGGGUUCGGCUUCAUCACCCCCGCCGACGGCAGCGAGGACCUCUUCGUGCACCAGUCCUCCAUCAAGGCCGACGGCUUCCGCUCGCUGGCCGAGGGCGAGGUGGUCGAGUUCGCCGUCUCGGAGGGCGACGACGGCCGCACCAAGGCCGUCGACGUCACCGGCCCCGACGGAUCCUUCGUGCAGGGCGGCGCGGGCGGCGGCGGAGGAGGUGGAGGCUUCGGAUCCCGCGGCGGCGGCGGAUCUCGCGGCGGCGGGGGCUUCGGCGCCCGCGGCGGGGACGGAUCUGGCGGGUAUGGUGGUGGGUACGGCGGUGGUGGUGGUGGAGGCUGGGGCGGGCAGAGGAGAUCCGGCGGUGGGGGCGCCGGUGGGGCCUGCUUCAAGUGCGGGGAGCCUGGCCACAUGGCCAGGGACUGCUCGGUCAACGGCCCCGCCGGUGGCGGCGGCGGCGGCGGCUGCUACAAGUGCGGGGAGCAAGGCCACAUNNNNNNNNNNNNNNNNNNNNNNNNNNNNNNNNNNNNNNNNNNNNNNNNNNNNNNNNNNNNNNNNNNNNNNNNNNNNNNNNNNNNNNNNNNNNNNNNNNNNNNNNNNNNNNNNNNNNNNNNNNNNNNNNNNNNNNNNNNNNNNNNNNNNNNNNNNNNNNNNNNNNNNNNNNNNNNNNNNNNNNNNNNNNNNNNNNNNNNNNNNNNNNNNNNNNNNNNNNNNNNNNNNNNNNNNNNNNNNNNNNNNNNNNNNNNNNNNNNNNNNNNNNNNNNNNNNNNNNNNNNNNNNNNNNNNNNNNNNNNNNNNNNNNNNNNNNNNNNNNNNNNNNNNNNNNNNNCCGGGACACAUCGCGAGGGACUGCCCCACCAGCAGCGGCUUCGGCGGGGGCGGCGGCGGCGGGAGGUUCGGCGGAGGAGGCGGCGGCGGCAACGACCGCUCCUGCUACAACUGCGGCGAGCCCGGCCACAUCUCCCGCGACUGCACCAAGUGAGGGGAUAUCUCUGCCCCUCCCCCCUCUAUAGAUUGCGCCUAAAUACCUCUCGUCUUAGUUUUGCCGAUCGAUCGAUCUGGGCCCAAGCGCCCAGCUUCAGCCGCCUCGCUUAUUUUAUCUUCCUCCCCCCUUCCGUUCUCGGAGUCCGUCCUAGGGAAAAGUCAGUCAGUCAGUCAGUCCGUGUGAUGGUUAAUUUUGCUAUGAAUUGGUCUCUGGUACCCGUACCGUACUCUCAGUUGAUGUUUAAGGUCGUGAUGAUGAUGGAUUAUUGGUGAUUUUUGUGGUGAUGAUGAGAUUGCAACAGAUCUCUGUUUUUUUGGUUUCAUCGAUGAAGUAAAAUGAUGCCCGUCGUUAUUAUCAUCCUCCAUGAUUGAAUGAAUGAAUGAAUGAAUUCUCUCUUGUCAGAUCAGAUCUCUGCUCUAGUGGUAGGACUAUCAUCUCUGUCUGUCAUCCUG
rnacentral:lncRNA from 1 species